rnacentral:tRNA from 1 species
GGGCAGGUGGUAGAGCGGUCAAUUACACCUCGCUGUAGACGAGGCGCCUUACGGCUACGGGGGUUCGAAUCCCUCCCUGCCCACCA